UACGAAGGGGGCUAGCGUUGCUCGGAAUCACUGGGCGUAAAGCGCACGUAGGCGGCUUUCUAAGUCAGGGGUGAAAUCCUGGAGCUCAACUCCAGAACUGCCUUUGAUACUGGAGAGCUUGAGUCCGGAAGAGGUGAGUGGAACUCCGAGUGUAGAGGUGAAAUUCGUAGAUAUUCGGAAGAACACCAGUGGCGAAGGCGGCUCACUGGUCCGGUACUGGACGCUGAUGUGCGAAAGCGUGGGGAGCAAACAGG
rnacentral:rRNA from 1 species